rnacentral:tRNA from 1 species
GAGGCUGUGGCUCAGUGGUAGAGCACGUGCUUGGCAUGCAGAACGCCCCAAGUUCAAUCCCCGGCAUCUUCA